rnacentral:rRNA from 1 species
GGGCCCGCACAAGCGGUGGAGCAUGUGGUUUAAUUCGAUGAUACGCGAGGAACCUUACCAGGGUUUAAAUGCAGAACGACAGGGGUGGAAACACCCCCUUCUUCGGACGGACUGCAAGGUGCUGCAUGGUUGUCGUCAGCUCGUGCUGUGAAGUGUCGGGUUAAGUCCCAUAACGAGCGCAACCCCCAUUUCUAGUUGCCAGCGGUUCGGCCGGGGACUCUAGAGAGACUGCCGGUGUCAAACCGGAGGAAGGUGGGGAUGACGUCAAGUCCUCAUGGCCUUUAUGUCUAGGGCUGCACACGUCCUACAAUGGUACGGACAAACGGACGCAAUACCGCGAGGUGGAGCAAAUCCUAGAAACCGUGCCUCAGUUCGGAUUGCAGGCUGCAACUCGCCUGCAUGAAGCCGGAAUCGCUAGUAAUCGCAGGUC